rnacentral:rRNA from 1 species
UACGUAGGGGGCAAGCGUUGUCCGGAAGCAUUGGGCGUAAAGAGCGUGUAGGCGGCUUGGUAAGUCCGCUGUGAAAGUCCAGGGCUCAACCCUGGAAUGCCGGUGGAAACUGUCAAGCUUGAGUCCGGAAGAGGCGAGUGGAAUUCCUGGUGUAGCGGUGAAAUGCGCAGAUAUCAGGAGGAACACCAAUGGCGAAGGCAGCUCGCUGGGACGGUACUGACGCUGAGACGCGAAAGCGUGGGGAGCAAACAGG